GGUACAUCAACACUUAUAAAUGGAUCUAGUGAUGAAGAGAGAACAUAUUCUUUCAGUCCAACAACAAGUCCUUUUGAUCCACGCUCACUGAACCAAGAACUUAAAAUUGGGAGAAUUGGUUACUGUUUUGAUUGCGCAAGAGCUUGUAUGAGACGGGGUAAGUAUAUUCGUACAUGUAGUUUUGAAAGAAAACUUUGUCGUUGCAGUAUUAGUGAUAUUAAAUAAGGCAUUGUAACUUUGUUAAACAUUAAUAAAAAAACA
rnacentral:sRNA from 1 species